GUAGUGCACGAUCUACAGAGCAGUCAACAUGGCAGAUAUGUCAGAUGUCCAAGAAAGCUCAAUAAACUAUAGAUGGAUGUGGAAUUAUUUGAGAAGAAAUACGGAGUAUGAAAUAUGUAAUAUUUGUGAUAAGAAAUAUUGUUCGACUCACAUUGUAUAUAUGCAAGAACAUAUACAAAAAGGACAUCCUGAUAUUUAUAAUAAAUCAGAAGAAACACCUUUUUUACAAUAGGGAACAACAAAAUAAAAUGUAAUUAUUGUCUGCAAAUUUAUAAGCCAUCUUUUCGUCUAAAUUUUAAUAUGUAACGUCACAUUAAGGGUAAGCAUAAACUUAACGAAAAUAUAGCUAAUAAACUCAAAAUCUGGGUAAAUCAGCAACUUGAUAUAAUUGAGAAAUGUGAGACUUGCGAUCAAUUUGAAAAAUCUGAUAUUUUUAAUAAAAUGAUACAUUUAGUCAAAGCUCAUCGUGUCAUCGUGCUUCCGAAAUUUAUACCAACAGGUUUAAAGGAUUGUACAUGGAUGUGGUAUUAUUUGAGAAGUGAUACGGAGAAUGAAAUAUGUAAUAUUUGCAAUAAUGAAUAUAUCAUUGCACACCGAUUCAGUAUGAUUGUGCAUGUGUCAACUUCACAUCCUCGUUCAUAUAAUCCCUUAGAAAUACAUAAUAACUUUACUUCUACUGAAACCAACGGAGUAAAAUGUAAUUAUUGUUCUCAAAUUUAUAUGCCAUUCUUGAAUCCAAGUAUGAAGGUGCAAAAUCACCUGACAAACAUACAUAAACUUAACGAAAAUAUAGCUAAUGAACUCAAAAGCUGGGUAAACGACCAACUUCCUUU